GAAAGUUGUCUACACAUUCAAGGAUAUAUCACUAAUCUUGAUGAUUCAGUCGUAAGCAAUAUACCUUUAUUAAAUAAUUGUAUGGCAUAUUUAUUUAACGAAAUACGUUAUGAAUUGAACGGUAAUGAAAUUGAUCGAACGCGACAUUUGGGUGUGACAACUGAUUUGAAAAAUGACUUACCAAUAAAUCAAAAUCAACAGCUUGUAUUAAAAAAUUAUGGAUGGUCAAUUGAUGAUGAUAUAAAAAUGGAAAAAGGAAACUUUAAUUUUUGCAUACUGUUGAGCAUGGUUACUUGGAUUUGCAGAAGAUUAUAACAAGAUAUUACUCAAAGGAAAGCAUGAACUUAUUCUAUUACGAGAAAUGAAUAAUGAUGGUGUUUUUAAAAGUACUGAUGCUGUUGCUGCAAACAUCUCAAAAUUGAAGAUGACAUUUUCUAGCAUUGUAUGGAAAAUACCUCAUGUACAAUUGUCUGAUGCUUAUAAAUUAUACAUGUUUAAAGUAAUAAACAAGCAAACACCGCUAUUGCUAUCAUUCAGGAGUUGGGAUAUCUAUUAUAAUCCAGUAGUUCCAGAGAGUACUUCAUUUGUAUGGAACUAGCUGAUCCGGCGAACUCGCACCGCCUAACAGUCAAUGAAUGUCGUGUUACUUUUAGCUGAACUAAUUUAGGCUUUGAUGAACGUAAAAAAAUGAUACAAAAUAAUAUCUUUAUAUAGAUAGAAACAAAAAAGUACCAACUUGAUAGCGCGUGAUUUCAUCGUUGGUAGUGGAUGUUUGGAUACCAAAAACCGCCAUGUCGCUCCCUUUCGUGACAAAUUUGCAAAAGUAUUUAAUUGACUUGACCGAAUUGCAAUCACUUGGCAUGCGCUCUAAAUCAGUCUUGAACAGCCUGACCAAUGCAUGAUGUUCAUUAGGCAUUUUCUGUAGAUCUUGGAGAAUUGCUCUAUUCGUAGCUGUGUCGAUCCCUUGACGCCUGUCAAGUUGUUCUUCCAUAUUGCCCAUAUUGCAAGAAUUUAUGCUGUGCAUCUUCUAUAGGUUGCAAUGAUCCAAUGCGAUGGUAAUAGGAUUUUAGAUCUUGAAAUGACUUUUAGUGUUUGUCGGAAAUCGCCAGAAAAUAAAAUCAUUGCACCACCAAAACAUCU
rnacentral:lncRNA from 1 species